AAUAACAAGAACAACUUUUGUUGCAUCUGCACCUUUUAUAUCCAACAUACUUACUUCCCCGUAUUGUUCAAGAAACUGGAAUCCAGAAAUGAAGUACAACAUAAUGAGAUCUAAAUUAACCAGGUGAUUAUCAUUUUAAUUCAUUACACUAGGAAUGAACUUGUGUUACUUUUAUGUAUAUGGGGGCAAAAAGUGUCGUGUCUGGUAAUGAACAAAAUCAAGAAUUAGGCAAAUGUUUCCUUAUCCGUAAUAGGAACUAAAGGCCAAGGUGUGCAAAAUGAAUUUCAGCACAGAAAGUCCCAGUAGUUACCUUCUUGCAAAGCAAAA
rnacentral:misc_RNA from 1 species